GCCGGUGUAGCGCAGUGGUAGCGCAGCUGCUUCGUAAGCAGUUGGUCGGGGGUUCAAAUCCCUCCACCGGCACCA
rnacentral:tRNA from 2 species